GGUCAGUAUCUGCUGUGAUACGGGUGGCGCAGUUAUUCGUAUCACAAUAGUGCUAGACAUU
rnacentral:pre_miRNA from 1 species